rnacentral:rRNA from 1 species
UCUGCCUGGUAGUGGGGGAUAACGUUCGUAAACGGACGCUAAUACCGCAUACGUCCUACGGGAGAAAGCAGGGGACCUUCGGGCCUUGCGCUAUCAGAUGAGCCUAGGUGGGAUUAGCUAGGUGGUGAGGGAAUGGCUCACCAAGGCGACGAGCCGUAACUGGUCUGAGAGGAUGAUCAGUCACACUGGAAGUGAGACACGGUCCACACUCCGACGGGAGGCAGCAGUGGGGAGUAUUGGACAAUGGGCGAAAGC